rnacentral:misc_RNA from 1 species
AGAUGUAAAGCCAGAGAACUUUUUGCUUGGUCAGCCAUCAACUCUGCAGGAGAAGAAGUUGUUCCUUGUCGACUUGGGACUAGCAACAAAGUGGAGAGAGAAUGUGAAAGGUCCGCAUGUGGUAUAUGAUCAGCGACCUGACAUGUUUAGAGGGACUGUUCGGUAUGCAAGUGCUCAUGCACACUUGGGAAGGACUGCCAGUAGA